rnacentral:rRNA from 1 species
UACGUAGGUCCCGAGCGUUGUCCGGAUUUAUUGGGCGUAAAGCGAGCGCAGGUGGUUUAUUAAGUCUGGUGUAAAAGGCAGUGGCUCAACCAUUGUAUGCAUUGGAAACUGGUAGACUUGAGUGCAGGAGAGGAGAGUGGAAUUCCAUGUGUAGCGGUGAAAUGCGUAGAUAUUAGGAGGAACACCAGUGGCGAAGGCGGCUUUCUGGACUGUUACUGACACUGAGGCACGAAAGUGUGGGGAGCAAACAGG